GAUGAACGCUGGCGGCGUGCCUAAUACAUGCAAGUCGAGCGAACAGACGAGGAGCUUGCUCCUCUGACGUUAGCGGCGGACGGGUGAGUAACACGUGGAUAACCUACCUAUAAGACUGGGAUAACUUCGGGAAACCGGAGCUAAUACCGGAUAAUAUAUUGAACCGCAUGGUUCAAUAGUGAAAGACGGUUUUGCUGUCACUGAUAGAUGGAUCCGCGCCGCAUUAGCUAGUUGGUAAGGUAACGGCUUACCAAGGCGACGAUGCGUAGCCGACCUGAGAGGGUGAUCCGCCACACUGGAACUGAGACACGGUCCAGACUCCUACGGGAGGCAGCAGUAGGGAAUCUUCCGCAAUGGGCGAAAGCCUGACGGAGCAACGCCGCGUGAGUGAUGAAGGUCUUCGGAUCGUAAAACUCUGUUAUUAGGGAAGAACAAAUGUGUAAGUACCUAUGCACGUCUUGACGGUACCUAAUCAGAAAGCCCCGGCUAACUACGUG
rnacentral:rRNA from 1 species